GCCGGGUGUGGUGGUGCAUGCCUGUAAUCCCAGCUACUCUGGAGGCUGAGGCAGGAGAAUUGCUUGAACCUGGGAGGCGGAGGUUGCAGUGAGCCAAGAUCAUGCCACUGCACUCCAACCCCAGGUGACAGAGUGAAACUCUGUCUCAA
rnacentral:sRNA from 1 species